rnacentral:rRNA from 1 species
CGCGGCCUAUCAGCUUGUUGGUGAGGUAAUGGCUUACCAAGGCUUGGACGGGUAGCUGGUCUGAGAGGACGAUCAGCCACACUGGGACUGAGACACGGCCCAGACUCCUACGGGAGGCAGCAGUAAGGAAUAUUGCGCAAUGGGCGAAAGCCUGACGCAGCAACGCCGCGUGCGGGAUGAAGGCCCUCGGGUUGUAAACCGCUUUCAGUAGGGAAGAAAAUGACGGUACCUACAGAAGAAGCCCCGGCCAACUACGUGCCAGCAGCCGCGGUAACACGUAGGGGGCGAGCGUUGUCCGGAUUUAUUGGGCGUAAAGAGCUCGUAGGCGGUUUCGUAAGUCGGAUGUGAAAACUCAGGGCUUAACCCUGAGCUUGCAGUGGGUACGGGCAGACUAGAGUGCGGUAGGGGAGACUGGAAUUCCUGGUGUAGCGGUGAAAUGCGCAGAUAUCAGGAGGAACACCGGUGGCGAAGGCGGGUCUCUGGGCCGUAACUGACGCUGAGGAGCGAAAGCAUGGGGAGCGAACAGGAUUAGAUACCCUGGUAGUCCAUGCCGUAAACGUUGGGCGCUAGGUGUGGGGCUCUUUCCACGAGUUCCGUGCCGCAGCUAACGCAUUAAGCGCCCCGCCUGGGGAGUACGGA